rnacentral:rRNA from 1 species
AGAGUUUGAUCCUGGCUCAGGAUGAACGCUAGCGGCAGGCUUAACACAUGCAAGUCGAACGGUAACAUUUCUUGCUUGCAAGAAGAUGACGAGUGGCGCACGGGUGCGUAACGCGUAUAACCUUCCUUGAACAAAGGGAUAGCCCAUGGAAACGUGGAUUAAUACCUUAUAACAUUUAGAUAUGGCAUCAUAUUUAAAUCAAAGAUUUAUCGGUUCAAGAGGGGUAUGCGUGACAUUAGCUAGUUGGUGAGGUAACGGCCCACCAAGGCUACGAUGUCUAGGGGUUCUGAGAGGAUGAUCCCCCACACUGGUACUGAGACACGGACCAGACUCCUAUGGGAGGCAGCAGUGAGGAAUAUUGGGCAAUGGACGCAAGUCUGACCCAGCCAUGCCGCGUGCAGGAUGACUGCCCUAUGGGUUGUAAACUGCUUUUAUACGGGAAGAAACCCCUGAACGUGUUCAGGGGCUGACGGUACUGUAAGAAUAAGCAUCGGCUAACUCCGUGCCAGCAGCCGCGGUAAUACGGAGGAUGCAGGCGUUAUCCGGGUUUAUUGGGUUUAAAGGGUGCGCAGGCGGGACGAUAAGUCAGUGGUGAAAUCCUACAGCUUAACUGUAGAACUGCCAUUGAUACUGUUGUUCUUGAGUACAGUUGAAGUAGGUGGAAUAUAGCAUGUAUCUGUGAAAUGCUUAGAUAUGCUAUAGAACACCGAUCUCGAAGGCAGCUUACUAAACUAUCACUGACGCUCAUGCACGAAAGCGUGGGGAGCAAACAGGAUUAGAUACCCUGGUAGUCCACGCCGUAAACGAUGAUAACUCGAUGUUGGCAAUAUACCGUCAGCGUCCAAGCGAAAGCGUUAAGUUAUCCACCUGGGGAGUACGAUCGCAAGAUUGAAACUCAAAGGAAUUGACGGGGGCCCGCACAAGCGGAGGAGCAUGUGGUUUAAUUCGAUGAUACGCGAGGAACCUUACCUGGGCUCAAACGUAGAGUGACCAUCUGUGAAAGCAGAUUUUCCUUCGGGACAGUCUACGAGGUGCUGCAUGGUUGUCGUCAGCUCGUGCCGUGAGGUGUCGGGUUAAGUCCCAUAACGAGCGCAACCCCUAUCUUUAGUUGCCAUCAGGUCAUGCUGGGGACUCUAAAGAAACUGCCUACGCAAGUAGUGAGGAAGGUGGGGAUGACGUCAAAUCAGCACGGCACUUACGUCCAGGGCUCCCCACGUGCUACAAUGGUCGAUACAAUGGGCAGCUACCUGGUGACAGGAUGCCAAUCUCCAAAGCUGGUCUCAGUUCGGAUCGAAGUCUGCAACUCGACUUCGUGAAGUUGGAUUCGCUAGUAAUCGUAUAUCAGCAAUGAUACGGUGAAUACGUUCCCGGGCCUUGUACACACCGCCCGUCAAACCAUGGAAGUUUGGGGUACCUGAAGUUGGUGACUUUACGGGGAGCUAUCUAGGGUAAAACUAGUAACUGGGGUUAAGUCGUAACAAGGUAACC